rnacentral:rRNA from 1 species
GACGAACGCUGGCGGCGUGCUUAACACAUGCAAGUCGAACGAUGAAGCAGAGAAACGCGCACUUCGGUUCAAAUUUCACUUCGGAUUAGUGGCAGACGGGUGAGUAACGCGUGAGCAACCUACCUCUUACAAAGGGAUAGCCUCGGGAAACCGUGAUUAAUACCAUAUGACACAUUCAUAAGGCAUCUUAAGAAUGUUAAAGCUACGGCGGUAAGAGAUGGGCUCGCGUCCCAUUAGCUAGUUGGUGAGGUAACGGCUCACCAAGGCGACGAUGGGUAACCGGCCUGAGAGGGUGAACGGUCACAUUGGAACUGAGACACGGUCCAAACUCCUACGGGAGGCAGCAGUGGGGAAUAUUGCACAAUGGAGGGAACUCUGAUGCAGCGACGCCGCGUGAGCGAUGAAGGAAUUCGUUUCGUAAAGCUCUGUUCUAUGGGAAGAAAAGGACUGUACCAUAGGAGAAAGCCCCGGCUAAAUACGUG